GCGUACUCUGAAACAAUUUCCGCCAUUUUUUUAAAUUUUCAAAUAUAACAUGAAAUAAUAUUCUCAUCUUUUAAUAUAUAUUUGAUGUUACAGAUAAACGCAGAUGUUUACAGAAACAAAACCUUCAUGACAAACUGACAUUAUAAAAAAUAAUUAUAUCAAAUUUCGUAAUUGUAACAAUUUUAUAAAAUGUUUAAAAAGAAAACAUAAUACAUGCGCUAUGAAAAACCGGUUCUUGCAAGCGCGUUAGCAUUGAAAAGGAGUAGUGUAACGGGAAUAGUUACAACGGUACAUUUGAUCAACAACACGAAUACACCUGUUAUUUUACACAUAUAAAUCAUACUAAAAUCAUAUAUCAACUAUGAAUAAACAAGAAAAGGAAGAUGAAAAACAGGACCCUGCCUGUAAUGUUUAUGAUCAGAUAAUGAGCUUAAAGAUGAAGACACUUCUAAAAGUUUUUCUAUACUCUGUAGUAGGUCCAAUACUCAUAUACUGCCUAUUUUUUUCUUUUUUAUACUACCAAGAACAGUUAAUAAGAGUACACACAACAGUAUCUAAAAUAAAAGAGGGGAAUCCACUGUAUUUCGUAUAUGCGAAAAGCAACGAUACCGGAUACUUGAAACAUGUAUUUAUCGUAUUGGAAAGUUUAGGUUUUAAACGGACCUAUAAUAAUUCAAACUGGGACUUGUUGUGGGCACACGAUUAUCCGUUCAGAGUUUUAAGUUCUAACUUAAAUAAGUUACAAACUCAUCAACGCGUUAAUCAUUUUCCUGGUUGUGGAUACAUUACUAAUAAGGUAGAUUUAUCCACAACAGAAGGACGUUAUAUCUUACCAGCAUUUAAGAUACCAGAGCAAAACAAUGAAUUCUUGCAAUAUGUUAAACAACAUCCUGAGAAGAUGUUUGUAGAGAAAUCAAACGAUCAUCGAGGUAUCAGCGUUAAAAAUAUUAGCAGUAUUAAUAUCACAGCAACAGGAUCUUUUGUACAAGAGUUUAUACAACGACCAUUACUCGUAGAUGGUUAUAAAUUUGAUAUAGGAGUAUAUACUGUAAUUACGUCGGUUGAUCCUCUUAGGGUAUACGUGUACAAAGGUGAUGCCUUAUUCAGAUUUUGUCCUGUAAAAUAUUAUCCAUUUGAUCCAGAUGUUUUAGAUAAAUAUGUAGUUGGCGAUGACUAUUUACCAAUUUGGAAUGUUCCAUCCUUGAAACACUAUUACAGUAAACUGAAAUUUUCAAUGAAAGACUCGUUCGAUGCAUACGUAAGAUUACAAGGAAAGAAUCCUGAAAAGGUCUGGGAUUCUAUGUAUGAAGCGAUUAAGGAAAUUACAUUAUCGAAAGAGGGGUACAUUAAAGAAGCUGUGAAACGUUUUGGAAAUGGAAGAAACUUUUUCGAAUUAGUUAGAAUUGAUUUUGCCCUCGACGAAGAUUUAAAUGUUUAUAUGAUGGAAGCAAAUAUGUCUCCAAAUUUGUCUUCAGCACAUUAUCCACCGAACCAGUUACUUUAUGAACAAGUUAUAUAUAAUUUAUUUGCAUUAGUUGGAGUAGGGCAACGAAUUAGAAAAGAUUCCCUAAAAAUAAGGAAUAAGAUGGAAGAAGAAAUGGAAGUCGCUGAUAAGAAUUUAAUGGUUCUACCAGAAUUGUGUAUAGAAUGCAAUGACUGUUUUCGUGUUGAAUGUCAGCUUUGUAGCCCUUGUUUUACAACUGAAACUAAAUCAAUUUUAUCUCAAAGUUAUCUGGAACAUCAAAAUAAAAUGAAUUUCCAAAGAAUCUUUCCACCACCUAUAACAAAAGAUAUGGUACUGAAGGAUUAUACGCUAAGAAAUCAAUUACUAGUAAGAUGGUAUCAAGGCAAAUGUGAAUUAGAUCACUCAUGGUGCUCCUAACAUGUCGAGUCGCGUUACGUGUUUCAUUAACUGUAUUGCUACCUGUAGCAAUGACUUCAUUAUUGUAUACAAAUAAACAACCAACUGGAACUUCGCCAGCUUUCAAAGAACGCUCUGCUUGUUCUAACGCAACAUCCAUCCAACACGUGGACUUGGGUGAGGUAAACAUAAUACCUAAAAUUACAAUGAAAUGUAAACACAGAAAAAGGUUUUCCAACGGGUCCACUAAUUUUUAACCAAUUUUUGACCAUAUUUAUUUCUCCAAAUGGUACACCAGUUUGUGACAUACCCCAAGGACCAGGGUUCAUUCCAAGAAACAAUAUUUUCUUUGGAGUAUUACAAUACUUUUUUACAUAUAAAGUAUGUAUGUUAAACGCAUAUUCAAGCGGACUAUAAACAUAUGCUACAGACACCUCAUUUAUGAAUAUUGUUAAGCAGAAAGAAGUGGGAAGAAGUACGAAGAACAUAUAGGAAAAUUUACCUUGUAUAAGGUUAAAAAUUGUAAAGAUGGAAAAUAAUAUUUAUAAAUUGUGCCAAUGAACAGCUGUGAUACGAUGCGCCACAAAAUAUAAAAGCUCUGUGUAAAAACAUGCGUGAUUGAUAGUAAUGAACGUAAUUAAUUGUAAAGUAGUCUAUAGUAUUUUUCACGAGAGAGUACUAGUACGGAUGAACGAAUUUUGGUCUCGUCUGCGCAUGUUGGCUCUGAUUGGUUCUGCCACGCUCCGCUACCAAGAAAUUAAAUAAAUGGAAACGAUAUUAGAACAGCAACGACGUUACCAUGAAGAAAGGGAAAGGUUGAUGGAUGCAAUGGUUAAGGAAAUGCUUUAUAAAAAGCCAGGACACAGGGAAAAUAUAAUUGAUUACAAGAUAUGGUGUCCAGGCCAUAAACCACAAUGAUAUUGUUGUUAAUGCUACCUGAUAUAAACGAAAUUUAUUUUUAUGAUAAUCAAAGUUUACGAUGCAUCAUAUUCUUUACUUAUAAUUGAAUACCUUCGCUAAUUUUGCUUCCGCACUACCGCCUUGAUUUUCUCCGGAUCGUAAAGAGGCGACAUUCAUUUUUUUAGCUUGUUCUCUCAUUGCUUCCUCAUGUGCAGCGACCGUCUAUUUAACAGGUGUUUACUAUGGUAAGCAAGGUGUCAAUAUAAUUAAAUUCUUUCAAUUAAAUACUUACAGAAACAAUGAAGUAAUAACUAUAAAUAAUAGUAAAUAAUGGAGUGUAAUAAACGAACAUAGAAUAGAUUAAUAUAUAAGAUUUAGAUCCCCAAUCCUCGGUAAGAUAAUCCGUUCCACAUGCUGUCAUGUUACCUUCGGGAACAUACCUAAUUGAUAUGCGAUGUGUUAUUCAUUAGCAUAGCCAGCCACUUAAGAAACAACGUAUCCUGAUAUAAAAAAACCUUACCUGUUCCAUCCUACUAAAGGUAAAAUAGUCCACAAUUAUCCAAAUAACCAGAUACCUAAAAUUUGAAAUAUAGCUCUGUUAAUAGUAAGCGGUGUUCCAGACAUACCCUGAAAAGAUUUUACGACAUUAUUUUCAUUGGAAAUAUCAGUGAUUAUAUCUAUCUAUAGAUAUACGCAUAGACAUACCUUCACUAUAACAUUAUAUCUAUCUAAAGCAAUAGCUGUCAUUGUCCAUAUAGAAGCACACCCACAUAAUGAACCAAUCAUUGCAUAAAUAUCACACAUUAAUGUUCCUGCAUAAAAAUGUUUAUUUUACACAAACAACAAAUUACCAUGGGAGGGCACAUGAAGUCCAUCAUUAUAAAGUCUGAGAAAGCAAGAUUUACUACAAGAAGGUUGCUCGGUGUUCUUAGCGAGGGUGUUAUUAAAAAAAUAUAAACUACCACGCCAUGUCCACACCAUCCCAUAAUUCCUAAUAUGAUCAUAACUAGGCCUAAGACUUUAUGCCAUAAUGGAUUCAAUGGAGGAAACCUGUACCUAUAUUUUAAAAUGUACUUUGCUAACAACUGUUUGAUUAUUAAAACGCAUCCAUUGUCU